rnacentral:miRNA from 1 species
GCUAUUAAUUAUACUCAAUUCUGAAAUGCAUUUUAUUGUAUAUAGAAACUAAAAUGCAUUUCAGAAUUGAGUAUAAUUCCAAUAAGUGUCAC